AGUGAACGCUGGCGGCAGGCCUAACACAUGCAAGUCGAACGGCAGCACAGUAAGAGCUCGCGCUUACGGGUGGCGAGUGGCGGAUGGGUGAGGAAUACAUCGGAAUCUACUUGUUCUUGGGUGAGAACGUAGGGAAACUUACGCUAAUACCGCAUACGACCUACGGGGGAGAGCAGGGGAUCUUCCGACCUUGCGUGAGCCAAUGAGCCGAGGUCGGAUUAGCUAGUUGGUGGGGUAAAGGCCCACCAAGGCGACGAUCCGUAGCUGGUCUGAGAGGAUGAUCAGCCACACUGGAACUGAGACACGGUCCAGACUCCUACGGGAGGCAGCAGUGGGGAAUAUUGGACAAUGGGCGAAAGCCUGAUCCAGCCAUGCCGCGUGGGUGAAGAAGGCCUUCGGGUUGUAAAGCCCUUUUGUUGGGGAAGAAAAGCAGCAGGUUAAUACCCGGCUGUUCUGACGGUACCCAAAGAAUAAGCACCGGCUAACUUCGUG
rnacentral:rRNA from 1 species